rnacentral:rRNA from 1 species
CACGUAGGGGGCAAGCGUUGUCCGGAUUUAUUGGGCGUAAAGAGCUCGUAGGCGGCUUAGUAAGUCGGGUGUGAAACCUCCAGGCUCAACCUGGAGACGCCACCCGAUACUGCUGUGGCUAGAGUCCGGUAGGGGAGCGUGGAAUUCCUGGUGUAGCGGUGAAAUGCGCAGAGUAUCAGGAGGAACACCAGUGGCGAAGGCGACACUCUGGAGAGCAACUGACGCUGAGGCACGAAGGCCAGGGGAGCGAACGGG